GUCUACGGCCACAUCACGUUGAAAACACCGGUNNNCGUCCGAUCACCGAAGUUAAGCAACGUCGAGCCCGGUCAGUACUUGGAUGGGUGACCGCCUGGGAAUACCGGGUGCUGUAGGCUU
rnacentral:rRNA from 1 species